rnacentral:rRNA from 1 species
GUCCUUUCGUUUUUUUUGGAAGGUCUGGCCUGCCCAGUGAAAUUAUAUUUAACGGCCGCGGUAUAUUGACCGUGCAAAGGUAGCAUAAUCAUUAGUCUUUUAAUAGGAGGCUGGUAUGAAAGGUUUAACGAAACAUAAACUGUCUUAUUUAUAAAUUUAUAAUUUAACUUUUAAGUUAAAAGGCUUAAAUAUCUUUGGAGGACGAGAAGACCCUAUAGAGCUUUACAUUAUUUUAUUUUUAAUAUUUCCUUGUUUAAUAAUUUAAUAUUAAAAUUAAUAUUGUUUUGUUGGGGUGACAAGAAAUAUAUGUUUAACUUUUAUUAUUUAAUUUACAUUAAUUUAUGAAUAUUGGAUCCAAUAUUAUUGAUCAUUAGAUUAAGUUACCUUAGGGAUAACAGCGUAAUCUUCUUUCAGAGUUCAAAUUUACAAGAAGGCUUGCGACCUCGAUGUUGGAUUAAGAUAAUAAUUAGGUGCAGUAGCUUAAUUAAUAGGUCUGUUCGACCUUUAAAUUCUU